rnacentral:rRNA from 1 species
UACGUAGGUCCCGAGCGUUGUCCGGAUUUAUUGGGCGUAAAGCGAGCGCAGGUGGUUUAUUAAGUCUGGUGUAAAAGGCAGUGGCUCAACCAUUGUAUGCAUUGGAAACUGGUAGACUUGAGUGCAGGAGAGGAGAGUGGAAUUCCAUGUGUAGCGGUGAAAUGCGUAGAUAUAUGGAGGAACACCGGUGGUGAAAGCGGCUCUCUGGCCUGUAACUGACACUGAGGCUCGAAGGCGUGGGGAGCAAACAGG